AGAGUUUGAUCCUGGCUCAGGAUGAACGCUGACAGAAUGCUUAACACAUGCAAGUCUUUGGCGAAGCUGUGCUUGCACAGCCUAGCCAAGGCGGACGGGUGAGUAACGCGUAAGGAACUUGCCCUGCAGUCAGGGAUAACAGACGGAAACGACUGAUAAGACCUGGUAAAGUCAGGCGGACUCAUGUCCAGCCUGAUGAAAAGAGAUGCUGCAGGAGAGCCUUGCGUCCUAUUAGCUUGUUGGUGGGGUAACGGCCCACCAAGGCGAUGAUAGGUAGCCGGCCUGAGAGGGUGGACGGCCACAAGGGGACUGAGAUACGGCCCUUACUCCUACGGGAGGCAGCAGUGGGGAAUAUUGGACAAUGGGGGCAACCCUGAUCCAGCAAUUCUGUGUGCACGAAGACGGUUUUCGGAUUGUAAAGUGCUUUCAGCAGGGAAGAAGGAAGUGACGGUACCUGCAGAAGAAGCGACGGCUAAAUACGUGCCAGCAGCCGCGGUAAUACGUAUGUCGCAAGCGUUAUCCGGAAUUAUUGGGCAUAAAGGGCAUCUAGGCGGCCAGAUAAGUCUGGGGUGAAAACUUGCGGCUCAACCGCAAGCCUGCCCUGGAAACUAUGUGGCUAGAGUACUGGAGAGGUGGACGGAACUGCACGAGUAGAGGUGAAAUUCGUAGAUAUGUGCAGGAAUGCCGAUGAUGAAGAUAGUUCACUGGACGGUAACUGACGCUGAAGUGCGAAAGCUAGGGGAGCAAACAGGAUUAGAUACCCUGGUAGUCCUAGCUGUAAACGAUGAUUACUGGGUGUGGGCAUGAAGAGUGUCCGUGCCGAAGCUAAUGCGAUAAGUAAUCCGCCUGGGGAGUACGGCCGCAAGGCUGAAACUCAAAGGAAUUGACGGGGACCCGCACAAGCGGUGGAGCAUGU
rnacentral:rRNA from 1 species